GAGUUUGAUCCUGGCUCAGAUUGAACGCUAGCGGGAUGCUUUACACAUGCAAGUCGAACGGCAGCGCGAGAAAGCUUGCUUUCUUGGCGGCGAGUGGCGAACGGGUGAGUAAUGUAUCGGAACGUGCCCAGUAGCGGGGGAUAACUGGCCGAAAGGUCAGCUAAUACCGCAUACGCCCUACGGGGGAAAGGGGGGGAUCGCAAGACCUCUCACUAUUAGAGCGGCCGAUAUCGGAUUAGCUAGUUGGUGGGGUAAAGGCCUACCAAGGCAGUGAUCCGUAGCUGGUUUGAGAGGACGACCAGCCACACUGGGACUGAGACACGGCCCAGACUCCUACGGGAGGCAGCAGUGGGGAAUUUUGGACAAUGGGGGAAACCCUGAUCCAGCCAUCCCGCGUGUGCGAUGAAGGCCUUCGGGUUGUAAAGCACUUUUGGCAGGGAAGAAACGGCGCCGGAUAAUACUCGGCGUCACUGACGGUACCUGCAGAAUAAGCACCCCCCUAUAAGCGUGCCAGCAGCCGCGGGAAUACG
rnacentral:rRNA from 1 species